UAGAUAGAUAGAUAGAUAGAUAGAUAGAUAGACAGAAAAAGAUAUACAGACAGACAGAAAAAGACAGACAGACAGACAGACAGAUAGACAGAUAGAUAGAUAGAUAGAUAGACAGAUAGACAGACAGACAGACAGACAGACAGACAGACAGACAGACAGACAGACAGACAGACAGAUAGAUAGAUAGAUAGAUAGAUAGAUAGAUAGAUAGAUAGAUAGAUAGAUAGAUAGAUAGAUAGAUAGAUAGAUAGAUAGAUGGAAAAGUUGUUCGUCCCACAUUUCCAAUGAAAGACUAAGCCUGUCAGGACAUGGCUAGAUAUGUUUGUUUAUUAAGAUUAGAUCGUUAUAAAUGCUUCAGAUAAGUGAAUUCUUAUCAUUGUUCCGGUUGGAGGAGCAUAAUUCUGAGCUCUGACGCAUGACAUGACGCAAUACUCUCUCGCCCAUUGAAAGUUCCCGAUUCCCUGCCAAACUGGUUCGACUGCUGAAGUCAGACGAAUUCUUUACAUCUAAUGACUGAGUUUAUCUGGAAGCAGUGAUCAAAGCACUUGAAUCUCUGGGUGAUGACCCCCAGCGUGAAUCCAGAGAUGCGGUGAAGCGACUAGAGCAGCACUGUCUCUCAUCCCAUUGACCCAGAAACUUCAUUCAAGCCAAUUAAGCUUUUCGCUUCACAAGACAUUAACUGAUGGACUGCUGACUGAUGUGGAUUACUUGUGGAUUAUAGUGAUGUUUUUAUCACACUCUCAUUCUGACGGCACCCAUUCACUGUAGAGGAUCCACUGAUGAGCAAGUGAUGAGCAACAUUUCUCCAAAUCUGUUCUGAUGAAGUAAUGAAAUAAUCUAAAUCUUGUAUGGCCUGGAGCAUGUAUGCGACAGAGGUCUACCCCCCUCCACCCCCAAAGACUUCCAAGAAAUCAUUGAUCAGUUACUUUAAUCCGUCAGUAAUCAAGAUGAUCCUCCACCUCUCAGACAACCCAUUAACUAGUGUGCUAUAGGAAUGAGCUGGCACCGGUACCUGAACGUGAGCAUUGUUUCCCCUUCACCUCCAACCAGACAUCAGAUCUUCGUCUGAAAUCCAGACAGUCCACGCUCAUGCCAGGUUUAUGGAUUAUCCAUCCAUAGGAAUAUAACCCUCUCCUCUCAUUACCGCUGACUCGCUGAUGGAAAAGUCGCUCACCCAAUGCUGGAUGAAUCUGUACAGCUGCAGCUCACGUGAUGAAUGUUGGAGGGAGGGAACGUGUCUGAACUAGCUGAUGAACAAAAUCAGCACCUAAUAAAGAGGUUGACUGGCAUGAAGUAUUUUAUGUAUUUUGAAAAAACUAAAAAUACGAACCUUUUCCAAAGGCUUUUAAAUACAAAUUAGUAUUUGAAACACAUAUUUGAAAUACAUGUAUCUUAAAUACUACCCAACCCUGCAUAAAAAUACACUGACUUUUUUGUUUAAAAUUGUUUCAGACUGUAUUCACUUUCAAACGGUGCUUGAUCUGUGUAUAUUUCUCUCCUGAUUCAGAGGAGACGAUGUUUUCACUGGACAAAGCACUGUUAUGGAUAUGGAUGUUUUUUUUUGUUUGUUUGUUUGUCUGAAGUUAAAAUUAACAGAAAACUAAACUUAUCUUAGAUGGCCUGAAAAAGAGUACAUUUUCAGCAAAUGUAUAAUUACUGGGUGAACUAUUUCUUUAUUAAUAAACAAUUAAUAAAUACAGCAAAUUGCAGUUUUCUUUUAUUUUAUUUUUUAUUAAAACGUAUUUAGCAUUUAUAAUUGUACUGUAAAAAUAUCCUGUUAAAUUUUGAGAGUCCUAGAAAAUUCACUAUUAAAUUAUGGUAAGAAUGUUUCAGGUAUUAUGGGAUAGUAUAUUGGUGCCUUAUUUAAUCAAACUGAGACUAUUUCAUCAAGUUAUAAUAACAAAAGGUUAAUACCUAUUGACUUGAACUACUAGCACAGUAGUUCUCUAAUAGAUACAUUAGAUAAUGGACUUUAACAUUUUAAUACAUUAACCUCUAAUUCUUCUUCAUGAUUAAGCUAGUUUAUGAACAAGGCUCAUUUUAAUUUUAAUUUAUAUUAGAGAAGUCUGUUUUAAUCUGGACCAUCAUAAAUAGAAUGUUUUAAUCCAAA